rnacentral:rRNA from 1 species
UACGUAGGUGGCAAGCGUUGUUCGGAAUUAUUGGGCGUAAAGGGCGUGUAGGCGGCCAGGUAAGUGGGACGUGAAAUCCCUCGGCUCACCCGAGGACCUGCGUCCCAAACUGCUUGGCUUGAGUAUGGGAGAGGAUGAGGGAAUUCCAGGUGUAGCGGUGAAAUGCGUAGAUAUCUGGAGGAACACCGGUGGCGAAGGCGCUCAUCUGGCCCAAUACUGACGCUGAGGCGCGAAAGCUAGGGGAGCAAACGGG